GAUGAACGCUGGCGGCGUGCCUAAUACAUGCAAGUCGAGCGAACAGACGAUUAGCUUUCUCCUCUGGCGUUAGCGGCGGACAACUCGGUGACACGUUGCUAACCUACCUAUAAUACUGGUAUAAAUUCGGGACACCGAAGCGAAUACCGCAUAACAUGUUUAACCGCAUGGUUCAACAUUUAAAGACGGGUUUUCUGUCACUUGUAGAUGGAUCUGCUUCGCAUUAGCUAGUUGGUAAGGUAAGGGCUUACCAAGGCGACGAUGCGUAACCGACCUGAGAGGGUAGGCGGCGACAGUGGAACUGAGACACGGUCCAGAGUCCUACGGGAGGCAGCAGUAGGGAAUCUGCAGCAAUGGGCGAAAGCCUGACGGAGCAACGCCGCGUGCGUGAAGAAGGUCUUCGGAUCGUAAAACUCUGUUAUUAGGGAAGAACAAAUGUGUAAGUAACUAUGCACGUCUUGACGGUACCUAAUCAGAAAGCCACGGCUAACUACGUG
rnacentral:rRNA from 1 species